rnacentral:rRNA from 1 species
UGGCGGCAUGCCUAACACAUGCAAGUCGAACGCUCGCAAGAGAGUGGCGGACGGGUGCGUAACACGUGGGAACCUGCCUUUGGGUACGGAACAACACCGGGAAACUGGGGCUAAUACCGUAUAAUGUCUACGGACCAAAGAUUUAUCGCCUGAAGAGGGGCCCGCGUUGGAUUAGCUUGUUGGUGAGGUAAAGGCUCACCAAGGCGAUGAUCCAUAGCUGGUCUGAGAGGAUGAUCAGCCACACUGGGACUGAGACGCGGCCCAGACUCCUACGGGAGGCAGCAGUGGGGAAUAUUGGACAAUGGGCGAAAGCCUGAUCCAGCAAUGCCGCGUGAGUGAAGAAGGCCUUAGGGUUGUAAAGCUC